UCUGCUUCCUGGGUUCAAGCAAUUCUCCUGCCUCAGCCUCCUGAGUACCUGGUAUUACAGGCACCCGCCACCACACCUGGCUAAUUUUUGUAUUUUCAGCAGAGACAGGUUUCGCCAUGUUGGCCUGGCUGGUCUCGAACUUCUUGACCUCAAGUGAUCCAUGCUCCUUGGCCUCCCAGAGUGCUGGGAUUACAGGCGUGAGCUACCUGCCCGGCCUGUUCCGUUGGGCUUUUAAAAAGGGCCUUGGAUGGAGGAGGUGCACGUGCUCACCAAGCCCACAGGUAAACCUAGUUGCAUGUACCCCCAGGGCACCUUUGUGAUUCCCCUGCUUGUGACUGCACACUGACUCCAUUCAAUUCAAAGACCCAGAAUGCUUCAACCCUACCAACUUCCUGGACAACGGCAAGUUCCAGGGCAAUGACCCUUUCAUGCCGUUUGCCUCAGGUGCGGGCAGGGGAGGAAGGGGACCAGCCUGGACCGACUCUGGGGUGCAUAGUGCUCACUAUGCACCCGUGUACCCGGGAAAGCAGAUGUGCCUGGGCACAGGCCUGGCCCACUUGGAGAUCUUCCUAUUCCUUACAGCCACCCUACAGAGGUUCCUGCUCUCCGUGGUAAGCCCUGGCACCAUCAACCUCACCUGCAGUUCACUGGCCUGGGCAGUGUCCCCCCAGCCUUCCAGCUCCAGCUAGUGGCCUGCUGAGGUCAGGCUCCGCUGUAGUGGGCUCACUGGCCCUCAAACCUCCACACCCUCCUUGGUCAAUAAAGGCCCUAAAUUGCA